rnacentral:rRNA from 1 species
AACGAACGCUGGCGGCGUGGAUAAGACAUGCAAGUCGAACGCUGAUUUCAGGGUAGCAAUAUUCUGAAGUCGGAGUGGCGCAAGGGUGCGUAACACGUGGGUAAUUUGCCAUGAAGCCCGGAAUAACUCGCUGAAAGGCGAGCUAAUACCGGAUGUGAUCUUUGGGAGGCAUCUCCUGAACCUCAAAGCUGGGGACCGUAAGGCCUGGCACUUCUUGAUAAGCCCGCGGCCUAUCAGCUAGUUGGUGAGGUAACGGCUCACCAAGGCUAAGACGGGUAGCUGGUCUGAGAGGACGACCAGUCACACUGUAACUGAGACACGGUCCAGACACCUACGGGUGGCAGCAGUCGAGAAUUUUUCUCAAUGGGCGAAAGCCUGAAGGAGCGACGCCGCGUGGGGGAUGAAUGGCUUCGGCCCGUAAACCCCUGUCAUUUGCGAACAAACCUCGUGAUUUAACAGAUGACGAGCUGAUUGUAGCGAAAGAGGAAGGGACGGCUAACUCUGUGC